GAGUUUGAUCGUGGCUCAGGAUGAACGCUAGCGGCAGGCUUAAUACAUGCAAGUCGUGGGGCAGCACAGUGUAGCAAUACAUGGGUGGCGACCGGCAAACGGGUGCGGAACACGUACGCAACCUUCCUUUAACUGGAGAAUAGCCCCCUCGAAAGAGGGAUUAAUACUCCGUAACAUGUUGAUAAGGCAUCUUAUUAAUAUUAUAGCUCCGGCGGUUAAAGAUGGGCGUGCGCCUGAUUAGAUAGUUGGCGGGGUAACGGCCCACCAAGCCUUCGAUCAGUAACUGGUGUGAGAGCACGACCAGUCACACGGGCACUGAGACACGGGCCCGACUCCUACGGGAGGCAGCAGUAAGGAAUAUUGGUCAAUGGACGCAAGUCUGAACCAGCCAUGCCGCGUGGAGGAUUAAGGCCCUCUGGGUUGUAAACUCCUUUUAUCUGGGAAGAAAUCCAUAUAUUCUUAUGUGGUUGACGGUACCAGAGGAAUAAGCACCGGCUAACUCCGUGCCAGCAGCCGCCGUAAC
rnacentral:rRNA from 1 species